AAACACCAGCCAGAGCUGGGGCUGAGAGAAACAGCACCGCAGCUCAGUCCGGCCCAGACAGGAUGUAGAAGACCUGCAUUGCUGGUGGCCUGUGUGAUCUGAGGAACAAACAUGGUGUGGGUGACACAAGGACAUAAGAAACAGUCCUGCAGCAUGGUUCCUGUUCCUAGGUCUGGAGAUUACCCAAGGAAGUCACAGGAGUCAAUAGAGGCAGCUGUGCAGUGCACAAAGAGCAGCACCAUUGAGGAAGGAGGGACUCAGUCCAGGCAAGGAAGAGUGUUCAAAGUAAAGAGAUUCUCCAGAUGGUUGUGCUUGCUUGCUUGACACGUGGGGCUGAGCAAAGCUUAGUAGCUACGAACACCAAGGAGGAAUUUUGCUUCCCAAAAUGCCAAUUCCAA